UACGUAGGAGGCGAGCGUUGUCCGGAGUUACUGGGCGUAAAGCGCACGUAGGCGGCUUUGUAAGUUAGGGGUGAAAGCCCGGAGCUCAACUCCGGAAUUGCCUUUAAGACUGCAUCGCUUGAAUCCGGGAGAGGUGAGUGGAAUUCCGAGUGUAGAGGUGAAAUUCGUAGAUAUUCGGAAGAACACCAGUGGCGAAGGCGGCUCACUGGACCGGUAUUGACGCUGAGGUGCGAAAGCGUGGGGAGCAAACAGG
rnacentral:rRNA from 1 species